CAGCCAGAUGUCCCAGAUCAUUCAAAUCUAAUCCACGAGUCUGAACCUUUGAAAAAGAUCUGCUCCCAGUGGGACUGUGAACUUUGCAUCUUUGACCUAUCUGUUAUUUAUUAUGAAAGAUCUUCAUGAACCAAGCCCAAACCUUCGUACAGUCAAGAACUGCAACAGCGACUUCGGUGGACUUUGGGCCAAAUCUCGUCACACGACUACAAAUAAAUCUUGAAAAACAGUUCAAGAACCCAUUCCACUGGUGUAACUCAGAAGAAGUCAUGGACACAGGGAGUGUCGGAUGGAGAACAGUAUUCCCCGUGACCCAGCUCCCGAUGACAUUCACAGGAUGGGGAUGGCUACUGUCAUUUUAUCAGGUUGCUGCACCCAGGUAGAUGUAAGACCUCGUGUACUUUUUCUGGGCACUGAUGGAAAAUAGAGGGAUUAUGUUUGAGUUUGGGCUUCCUCGUAAUAAUUACUCCAGUCUUAUCAGCACCCCGUGACUGCUUUCCCUGGUUGCUUUCCUACUACUCUCCUCGUUGACACCUGGUGGCAAAGUCGUCACUGCCAUCUGUCUCACUGAGCUCUUUGGAGCAAAGCAAACUUGUGCUGGUAUUUUGGCCUGGGGUGUGCAGCACAGGGACACCAAGAAGGUCUGAGGGACACGAAGAAGGUCGGUCAGCCCCUAACACGUAACUUCACUCACAAGUCUCUGCUCCCACCUGGAGGGAAAGCAGCUGAAGGAAGGGGUUAAAGCAGAGGGAGUGCUUUUCCUUCAGUCUGCUCAUAUAACCACUAUGUGAGGAGACAACAGCGAGGGACUCAGCAGGAUCCAAAGUCUUUUAAAUAUUUCUAUGACUAAUAAAGAUAUGCUUACCCAUAUGAUCAUGGCUGGUUAUAAAACAUAAAAUCCCAGUUUUUACAACAACCCCCACCCUGCUGGUCGUGUAAAUUUCUUGAGGUAGGAAAGAGACACCCCUGCUGCUACUAUUUACUAUUUCUUCAGCUGUCACUGAAACUAGA
ensembl:lncRNA